rnacentral:rRNA from 1 species
UACGUAGGGGGCAAGCGUUAUCCGGAUUUACUGGGUGUAGAGGGAGCGUAGACGGCAAUACAAGUCGGAAGUGAAAUACCCGGGCUCAACCUGGGAACUGCUUUGGAAACUGUAUGGCUGGAGUGCUGGAGAGGUAAGCGGAAUUCCUAGUGUAGCGGUGAAAUGCGUAGAUAUUAGGAGGAACACCAGUGGCGAAGGCGGCUUACUGGACAGUAACUGACGUUGAGGCUCGAAAGCGUGGGGAGCAAACAGG